rnacentral:rRNA from 1 species
CAUGCAAGUCGAACGAGGAUAUAUCCUUCGGGAUAUAAGCCGAGUGGCACAAGGGUGAGCAAUGCAUAGAUUACCUACCUUUAGGAUAAGGACAACUUUGUGAAAACGGAGCUAAUACUUAAUAAUACAAAAGAAAAUAAUUUUCUUUUGUCAAAGGGAGGGUAGCAAUACCUUUCGCCUAGAGAGGGGUUUAUGUCCUAUCAGCUUGUUGGUGGGGUAAUAGCCUACCAAGGCGAAGACGGGUAGCCGGUUUAAGAGGAUGGUCGGCCACACUGGGACUGAGACACUGCCCAGACUUCUACGGAAGGCUGCAGUCGAGAAUCUUUCGCAAUGCCCGAAAGGGUGACGAAGCGACGCCGCGUGGGCGAAGAAGGCCUUCGGGUUGUAAAACCCUGUCAGGAGUUAUGAAAUGUAAGUGCGCUAAUAUCGUGCUUAUUUGACAAAGGCUCCAAAGGAAGCCACGGCUAACUCUGUGCCAGCAGCCGCGGUAAUACAGAGGUGGCGAGCGUUGUUCGGAAUAAUUGGGCGUAAAGAGCACGUAGGUGGGUUUGCAAGUCAGAUGUGAAAGCCUUCUGUUCAACGGGAGAAUUGCAUCUGAAACUGCUAAUCUUGAGUAUAGGAGGGGAGAAUGGAACUUCUGGUGGAGCGGUGAAAUGCGUAGAUAUCAGAAGGAACACCGGCGGCGAAAGCGAUUCUCUGGCCUAUUACUGACACUCAGUGUGCGAAAGCUAGGGGAGCAAACGGGAUUAGAUACCCCGGUAGUCCUAGCCGUAAACGAUGGGCACUAAGUAGAGGGGAUUACCUAUGUUCCCUCUGCCGUAGCUAACGCAUUAAGUGCCCCGCCUGGGGAGUACGGCCGCAAGGCUAAAACUCAAAAGAAUUGACGGGGGCUCGCACAAGCGGUGGAGCAUGUGGCUUAAUUCGAUGCAACGCGAAAAACCUUACCGGGGCUUGACAUGAUAGAAGUAGGAACCUGAAAGGGGGACGAACGGUAUCCAGUCCGUAGCUAUUACAGGUGUUGCAUGGCUGUCGUCAGCUCGUGUCGUGAGACGUUGGGUUAAGUCCCCUAACGAGCGAAACCCUUGUUUUUAGUUACCAGCGGGUUAUGCCGGGUACUCUAGAAAGACUGCCGUCGUCAAGACGGAGGAAGGUGGGGACGACGUCAAGUCAUCAUGGCCCUUAUGCCCCGGGCUGCACACGUGCUACAAUGGUCGGUACAGACGGAAGCGAAGCCGAGAGGUGAAGCGAAUCCUAAAAAGCCGAUCUCAGUUCGGAUUGGAGGCUGAAAUUCGCCUCCAUGAAGUUGGAAUCGCUAGUAAUCGCGGAUCAGCAAUGUCGCGGUGAAUAUGUUCCCGAGCCUUGUACACACCGCCUGUCAAGCCACCCAAGCAGGAUGCACCCGAAAACAUUAUAUCUAACCAGGGUAACUUGGAGGAAAAUGUUGAAGGAGUGUUUUGUGAGGAGGACUAAGUCGUAACAAGGUAGUCGUAGGAGAACCUGCGGCUGGAUCACCUCCUUUCU